rnacentral:ribozyme from 11 species
UUUACUUUUUUCGUUUAGUUUUUGUUUCAUUUUCGAAUCUGUUUUUUUUUUUUCUUUUUCCUGAUCGAUCCGUGGCAAAAUACAUCUAAAGACAUGAAGUCAAUUGUUGGAAUCAUGGAAUGGUUUCAGUUGGAGAGAAAAAUUAGGGUUGAUGAAUUUUA